GAUCACACACGAGCACGGGAUCUCUGUGAUGCGCACGGGAACGGCACCGUCGCCGCCGCCACGUGCGACCGGUCGUCCUCUCCGGCCAUCCGUCGCUACCAAGCGCGGCCGGUAGUCCUCUCCGGCCAUUCGCCGCCUUGUCCGCCACCCCCUCCCCAUGCGUCCCCAAUCAGCCUCCUCGAUCUCCAACCUCAUGUUGUCGUCCUUCUCUGAUUUGGAUCAAAGUGGAGCCAUCAAUGGAAGCAGGGGAGCAGCAGAUGUGGAGCCAUUGGACGAGGAGGAACAGCUCGGGUAACAUGAGGGAAGGGGUGGAUCUGACGGAAGCGGGGGAGCACAGAAGAUGGAGCCAUCUUAUUGACCCGUUUGGCGACCGGCCGGCUAGCCAAUCCCCUUCACUCCCAUCACGUCAUGUAGCUCCGACGGUUGCCUGCCCGCACGGGGAUAGAUGUCUUCGCCGUCACACGUGAGGAUGUUCUUGGACACUCUGUGUUGCUGCUGUUUGUAGUUGCAGAAGUUUUAAGGAGUCAGAGUAGCUUCCACAUCUGUAGUUAGGGCUGACGAUUGUGAUUUUGGGCCUGUACUGAAUAAUUUUGGGACCGGCUAGGUGAUUACAAGCCAGGAGGACUGCAUGUGACGAGUUAAGGGCUUAAGGCACAAGAAGAACUACGGCCAUUUUAGCUCCAGCACUAAGUACACAACCAAUCAACCAUGCAUUUUCAUGACCCAGGUUUCUGAAUUCUGGCUGACAGGCUCCCUACCACAGCCACAUAAUCUCACACAUUCAAAUUGCUAGCUACACAAAAUACGCCCGGAUCUACGAGUAGAAAUCCAAGAGAGCAUGGAACGCUAUAUGGAAGGAGAUGCCAUUGCUACCUCUUGAGCACUACGUUGGUUUUCCCUUGAAGUGGAAAGGGUGAUGCAGCAAAGUAGCGGUUCAGAACUGUUACCUUGCUACACCUACACAUGUGGAAAACUUAAACUUGGCAGUCUAAAUUAAGCAGCAAACUUCAUUGCCGGUCAUCUAAAAAUUCAGUGACAACAGCUGGCACACGCGCUUCAUUUUUUAGUACAGAUAGUAGAUGAUGCAGAUGACAGUUCUACCUCUUUGACUGAAACAAGAACUUUCUCACCAAGGGCAUACCUACAAGACAGCGGCAUACCUGCAGGACAGCAGGAGGUCCUCAGGCAUGCAUCACACAUUCACCAAAGAUAUGGAGCUACCAUUUUAGAUUAGUACUAGCAUAUUGGUACAUAGUGUGUGUGUUAGCAUAUUAGUAGUAGCAUACCUAUAGGAGGUCCUAAGUUUGUUCAGUUCUAUACAAAUUUGAGUUCGUAUGUAGUGUUGAGAGGAUCCUAAAAUA